GAGCAUCUCGUGAAGCAAAAAAUAACACUCGGCAGUCUGAGCUGCUUAAUUAUUCCAUCAGGACAGGCUGCAAAGUGAUAAGAGAACAUGUGCUCUGCAUGCUUGGCUGCGUGUCUAAAUCCUUUGCGGAGUCGUGACAGGAGAGACAGGACUCAAAAUGAAAGAAUGUGUGAUAAAACAAAAGAAAUAAACCAGACAAGACACCCAGGACACGUGAUCCACUCGGAGCCACAUGAAACUGAUUGCGGGUGAAGCAUUACAAAUGAAAAGCAGAGGUCUACAGCUGAUGUGGGGCAGGGUGGUGAUCUGCAGUCCCUGUAAAGCUGAGGAAAUUCCCCGUGGAAGCCACUGGAGCUCCAGUCACAUUCCAGCCAGUGAAUUUCUGCCACUUCCUGUGCAAUAUGGACUCUGUUUCUCCAUGAGGACAAAAGCCUUUGUUCUGCUGAGUCACACUCCAGAAGAGCAGGCGGCUGCACAAGAGUUGACACGCUCUUCCUACUUCCACUUUUCACUUUGUACUUCUCCCCUCUACUCGCUUCUGCCUCUUUUUGGUGUUGCACUGGGGGUUUUUUUUGGGUUUCUUUUGGC